rnacentral:tRNA from 2 species
GCGGCUAUAGUGUAGCCCGGUCUAGCAUUCGGGACUGUCACUCCUGCGACGCGGGUUCAAAUCCCGCUAGCCGCGCCA